GUGGUGACAAUUGUUCGUAACAAAAUUAGCUUGUUACAAAAUGUUCGGUUACAAGCAGAAUAGGUCUGUAAACAGAUGGUGAAAAGGUUCUUUAUUGCAUACA